GAGUUUGAUCCUGGCUCAGGACGAACGCUAGCGGCGGGCUUAAUACAUGCAAGUUAGGGGGGCAGCAAUGUUCACCGGCGUACGGGUGCGUAACACGUAUAUAACAUACCCUUUAGGGGAGGAUACAUCGAAGAAAUUCGGGAUAAAACUCCGUAAGCUAAUGGUAGGGCAUCCUACUAUUAGGAAAAUUUCUAGAGGAUUGGUAUGCGUCUGAUUAGCUAGUUGGCGAGGUAACGGCUCACCAAGGCGACGAUCAGUAGCUGGUCUUAGAGGAUGAUCAGCCACACUGGCACUGAGACACGGGCCAGACUCCUACGGGAGGCAGCAGUAGGGAAUAUUGGUCAAUGGACGCAAGUCUGAACCAGCCACGCCGCGUGCAAGAAGAAGGUUCUUUGGAUCGUAAACUGCUUUUAUCAAGGGAUAAAGAGAGGCUAUACGCCUAAAUGAAGGUACUUGAUGAAUAAGCCACGGCUAACUACGUGCCAGCAGCCGCGGUAAUACGUAGGUGGCAAGCGUUGUCCGGAUUUACUGGGUUUAAAGGGUGCGUAGGCGGUUUAAUAAGUCAGUCGUUAAAGACACAAGCUCAACUUGGGCGUGGCGAUUGAUACUGUU
rnacentral:rRNA from 1 species